CCUUUCCAUUAUGACUUUGGCUCUUGCCGGAGGUAGGCUACUGCAGGGGCAUGAGCCAUAUCAUGGCAUGAGCCACUAUCUUGCUCAUGUUCCAGAAUGAGGAGACAUCUGGGUGCUGGCCCAGCUGCUGGCCAAUGAGAGGCUUGCCAAGCAUGGUACUCUCCCAGGUGAACUCUGUCCUCUCAGGUGACACAGUCCUCCCAUGUGACAUUAGCCCACAGUGGACAGCUACCCACGAGGCAUCACACAGCCAGGACAGGGGAUGGCCACAUUGACUGGGUAAUUGUGACUUACAGACAAGGCACCUUCUGUCCCCUACUCAUUUUGAGCCUCCAGGAUAUCCCCUGCUGAGAGUCCCACAGGAGCCUGUGACUGGUCAGAGACCCCACACCCCAAGUCAGAUGCCUCUUGUCCCCAUCAGCAAACGGGAUCACAGCUGCCCCGUGACCACCUUCUGCAUCCUGGUGCCACAGCCCUCUGGCCCUGACCUUAUGCAGGGGACUCUUAUCACCCUGCUGGUCCUUCAGCCUCCCAGCUGGCCACCCUCCCAACCACCCACCCUGCCCAUGGCUAGACCAAGCCCAGAUGACAGCUUCUCUCUGUCCUGUGUCCCCUGCCCUGACCCCACAUCCAGGAGAAGGCCACACAUCCUCCAGCACCCCUGGUCACCCCACCAGCUCCCACCUGUCCUCACUGCUUUAAAGGCAGGCCUGCCCUUCUGAAACCAUGGCCCAGGAAGCCGCUAAGCAGUGCCUCCAGCCAGGCCCCAGAGGACAUUCCCAUCGCCCCUCCUCUCCUGGCCAAGACCACACGAUGGGGUCACUGGAUGGGAGAGUGAAAGGCCUUGGAGUCUGGAAGCAACCACCACUGCCCAACCGCCACUGCCCAACUGCCACUGCCCAACUGCCACUGCCCAACUGCCACUACCCAGCCUGAUGGCUCCACAUCUCAGGAGUAGGCUCUGAUUUCUUGGGGCUCCAGGAGCCUCUCAGGAGUCUACAUCCCAAGAUGUUCUAACUUCCAGAGUCUCCAAGGCCAUCAAGAGCAAGUUUUGCUAAAAGUGCUCCAAGAGCUUAUGAAGCACAUGGUAUCUUCUUUCCCUACAGUGCUCAGCUCUCCCAGCCCAGGGCUCUGGCUUCCCCAGGAGGACCCAGCUCACCCUCACCCCACAGGAGGCACAGGCAGGUCUCUGCAGGGCACACAAGCCAGGACCUGCCUGAUGGAAGCAUCACACACCAGAAACCAGGGAUUUCUGGGCGGACUGGGCCAGGACCCAUCUUGGAAGAGCCGGAGGAGCCAGGGAAACCACGAGCCCUAAGGAAAUCCCUUAUUCUGAGAGCCACAUUUCUGCUGAGAUGAGUCCAUCCCCAUGAAGAGCCGCCGAACCUUGUCUGACCCAGCCUUAUGGAAGCUAGGGUGGGUCUCUUCCCAAGCAGAGGGAGCCUCAGGAAGUCCAGACUGAGGCUACAGUGGGCCCUGCUCAAGCCACCAGCCCCGAGGCUGGAAAGGCCAGGUCCUCCCAUACCUGCUGUUCCCGCAGACUUCCUUCAUGCUCAUCCUGAGGCUCUGGGAUGUCUACCUCCUGGAAGGUGAGUGCGUGGUGACAACUAUGGUAUGCAUGGCCUUCACAGCACACAGAAUUAAGUCCCUGGGUGGCCAAUGGUGCCCAGAAGGAGCAUGCAGGACAGACCCUGGAUCCUAUCCACCAAUGGUGCCCAGAAGGAGCAUGCAGGACAGAUCCCUGGCUUCUGGUGUGUGAUGACCUGAGACCAGCAUCCACACUGUCCUCAUGGCUCUCUGCUCCAGCCCGGAGGUAGGGCCAGACCAGGCCUGGUUGGCUGGGCAGGGAGUGGACCCAGGUACCAAACCCACUCCUGGCACAACCUAGAUGAAAGGCAGGAGUGUGGUGAGCACUUCCCUGCCCAGGCCUUCCUCCAGCUGUGGUUCUCUGUGAACAUCUGGACCCCUGGGGCAGCCACAGUAGGAUCCAGCACUGCCCAGUGGAGGGUGCCUGGAGCGGGAACAAGGUGCAGAAACUGACUCUCCCACAGACCCUUCCCAGCCUGAUAGUCACCCUGUUCCUGGAACACCCCCUGAAGCUGUUCCUGUUUGGCCUGCAGGAGUUCCUUCAGGACACACUGUCCUAGGCCUGGGCCCUGGAGGAGGACAUGGUGAUGAGGCGCCCUGAGGCCUCCAUGGGGGAACUGAGAAGCAUGCACUGUGACCUGCACACCCAGGCGGGCUUCAGAACCAAGUUUCCUCCUGCGUCACCCUGUGGGGCAGUAAAUAGUGGGAAGUGCCUAGACCUCACCAGCCCUGUUCCCUGGGCCUUUCCUCCAGCCCUUUCUCUCUCUCCUCCUCUAAGAAGCUUCUGAAAACAGGCUGACUGAGCCUAGGGCAAAAGCUGACCUUGGGUUUACUGGACAUGCCUCGGAGACAAUGAGACGUGAGCAAGACUCUUCCAAGCCCCUCCCAUGUAGCCUCCUGCUCUCACUCCUGAAAGCCCCAGAAGGACACUGGAGGGCUCAGAUCCAUCUGUGCAAGCCCACAACCACACCUGUGAGUACCAGCAGCCCUGGAGAGCAGUGGGGCCUUCACUCCUGAGCACCCCUCCAAGGGCCUAAAAUCAGUGUCAGACCCUAAGAAGAUUUAGGGAGAGGGCAUAUGUGAAACCCUGGCCCAGAGCCAGAAUUGAGAGCUCAGCUAAGUGUGGUAACAGUCCAGCCCUGGCAUGGAGAUCCCCCAGAGGAGUGGAGGGUAUCUCACCCACUGUGGAGAUAAGCCCCCAUAUUGGGUGGCAAAGGGGCCCCAUCCAUCUGAGCUCUGAAUCAAGGCUAAAGCCCAGGCUAAGCAGCCCUGGGGCAAGGGUGUGAGGCAGGAAGCCUGAGUCAGCCCGAACCCUGGGGGCUGCCCCUGGAGUGACUUGAGGUUCCCUAACAGCUACACACACAUCUCGCUCUGGGAGCAGCAGCCUGCAGAAGUGUCCUCAGCGUUAGACCAGGGGGACCACACGGUGACCCUGAGGACUGCAGGGACCCAAGUCUGUGGGGUCCAGCCUGGCAAAAGCAAGAUGUUCUCAGUGGAGAAGCUGACCAAAUCUGCUUUCCUUUCAGCCAAACCUGAGCAAGUACCCCCAGCACUCAGGUCUCUGCAGACAUCCCCUAGCAUUGAGACCCUCCCCAAGGGGACGGGCUGGUUCUCCCUGGCCCACAGCCCAGCUCCAGCAGCCCAUGGGUGUAGCCCUCCUGAGGGUGUAGCCCUCCUGAAACAAGAGCCUCAUCCUCCCUCACCCUCGCCUAGCUAGGCUAUAUGCAAGGCCAAAGCCCAGAGGCAUGAGGGAGCUUCUGCAGAGCCCAGGACAGCAGGCUGCUCUCUGGGGGCCCUGGGGACUCAAAAGAGUGUGGCCAGCCCAUCCCCAGCUCAGGAUAGACCACAGGGUGCUUGGUGAUUCCUACAUUGGAACUCCCUCUCUAAGCUCCCCAUGGACCUGGACCUCAGAGGCCUGUGGUUUUCACAGUACAGCUUGGAGCAGACAUGCUAGGCCCCUGUCACUUCCAUAUCUGCCCUGGACACCUCUAAGACCACAGGACUGGCCCAGCCCCCAAUACGAGACCCUGCCCAGACCCCUGAUAGCCCAGAGGUAGGGCCAGAGACAACUUUCCUGCAUGUGGUGCCUAUAUCUGACAGAUCACCCUUGGCAGACGGUGACCAGCAUGGCCCAGAAGGAGCCAGGGCAGCACCUGGCAAGCUGCCCCAAAGCCCCAGAUAGCUCCUUAGACAUGGAAAGUCAAUACUGAUGGGGAAGCUGGACACUUGGAGGCCACUGGAGGGAAGGGUGAGCAUGGCAUUCCCACUGCUCAGGCCAGCCAGCAGCAUGCCCUGCAUCCACGGUCCCAACCUGUACGGCAGAAUCCCCCUCUCAAUGCACAAUUCCCAGACCCAAAGGGCCCUAGCCCAGACUCAACCUGAGCCCUGAAAGGGAAGGGGCACCAGGGGUGCCUUGGGGUCCCCAGCAGCAGCCAAGAUACACAGGAGACAGAGUCCCCUGUGGCCCUGGCCAGAACUAGUAUUUGGCUUAAGGCAGAGCAAGCCCCCUUGGAGCACUGCGUACAUACCCGGGGCCUAUGUGUGCCUAGCAAGGCCAAGCUGAUGAUGUUACCAAGCUCAAACUACCGCUGUCCACCUUGGUGAGGGUAGGGCAGAAACAGGCGGACCAGCCACCAACCUCAUCCAUUCAAGGAAGCAGAAAUGGUCAGGCUCCUGCAGGAUAGGUUGUCACCACCAGACCAGCAAUGGGGUGGAGUCCUGAGGCCCAAGCAGAUGGCACUGGGGCCCUGCUUCCAGGGUCCACAAUCUGCUCCAGGACACAGAACUGAAGAAAACCAAGAAAAUGAGAGUCCAGGAGGCUGGAUCCCUCAUCUGCCAUUCUUGGCAGUUGCAUUUUCUGGUCAGAAAAAGUCAGGAAACUUGGCACUACUCACCGCAGAAGGCUCCAAGGUGGGACCAGAGCUUCCAGCACAGAUUCAGCAAUGCCUAAGAAAGCCUCUUGUUGGGGGAAAGAACCCCUUCCUUGGCCUCAAAGCCCCCACUGAUUUUGAUUAAAGCACAGUAAAGUCUUUGUUGUUA